rnacentral:rRNA from 1 species
UCCCAGACUCCUACGGGAGGCAGCAGUGGGGGAUAUUGCACAAUGGGGGAAACCCUGAUGCAGCGACGCCGCGUGUAGGAAGACGGUCCUCUGGAUUGUAAACUACUGUCCCCAGGGACGAAGAUGACGGUACCUGAGUAAGAAGCACCGGCUAAAUACGUGCCAGCAGCCGCGGUAAUACGUAUGGUGCAAGCGUUAUCCGGAUUUACUGGGUGUAAAGGGAGCGCAGGCGGCACGGCAAGCCUGAUGUGAAAGCCCGCGGCCCAACCGCGGGACUGCAUUGGGAACUACCGGGCUGGAGUGCCGGAGAGGUAGGCGGAAUUCCUAGUGUAGCGGUGAAAUGCGUAGAUAUUAGGAGGAACACCAGUGGCGAAGGCGGCCUACUGGACGGUGACUGACGCUGAGGCUCGAAAGCGUGGGGAGCAAACAGGAUUAGAUACCCUGGUA